CUCAGGAAGUGUCGAGAGCCACAGUCUGCCCGAUCUCACUGAACUGUAAAACAGAUCCAGACACCGAUCACGACCGCAAGAGCCCAGCGAGGCUCUUCCAACCACCACUGACACCAACAGUAGCACAAAGCCAGAAAGUGGGAUUUCACACUACACCAUGGCUGAGUUUACUCCACAGAGAGUCAUAACAGAAAGCAGAAGUAGUCUUGCGAACGGCUAAAGACUAAGUUCUCGGUGGGGCGGCAACAACGUCUCACGAGUCAGUAACACUUGAAGACAUUUCUUCAUCUAUUUCAUUUGUCUAGUCAUUUGUACACGUUGACAGGUGUAAAUACAGAGAAUGCGCCCACUGUUCAUUUGCUAAAUUUAAUAGGGGCACUGGGCCACACGAUAUAAUGUAGCCUGUGCAAAAGUUAUGGCACAUUUUAUCCUUCCUGUUUUUCCAACAUGUUAAACUUCACAAAUAAACGGAAAUUUUCCACUAAAACUUGCAGAAAA